rnacentral:rRNA from 1 species
UACGGAGGGUGCGAGCGUUGUCCGGAAUCACUGGGCGUAAAGGGCGCGUAGGCGGCGCGGAAAGUCGUCGGUGAAAGCUCGGGGCUCAACCCUGAGUCUGCCGGUGAUACUCCCGCACGCGAGCUCACUAGAGGCAGAUGGAAUUCCGGGUGUAGCGGUGGAAUGCGUAGAGAUCCGGAAGAACACCGGUGGCGAAGGCGGUCGCUGGGCAGUGCUGGACACUGAGGCGCGACG